GCCUUCCUCCCAAUUAACAAAUCCCACAGCUACAUCUCAGCCACUCUGCGACCAAAGGAACUACGAAUCAGAUGCCCUGUGAUUCCCGACAGGCGGAGGUGUCAGUCAGACGAACAGACGUGCACGUGUACUGGAAGGAUCCCCACCAGCCCAACGGCGUCAUCGUCACCGUCGAGAUCGAGUACCAUCUCGUCGACAAAGAGUUUUGUCAAGCUGACCGCCUGACCCACCGGGUUCGGGUCACCUACUGGGACACUGCAUUGCACUUGAACGUUGAGAGCUUUGAUGUGGGGCUGCAAACAGGCGCCGGGAUUCCGAUGUGUCUUCCAUGUGGAAGCCGAGAGCGGAGAGACCUGUGACCGUAUCGCCUUGAAUCGCGGUGUGAGCCAAAGCGACAUAAGAAAAUGGAAUACUGACGGUCGCCUAAGAAUGGGUGAUGCAGUUUGCGUUAACGCUGUGCAAACAGGAGCGACCGGAAGUGAUGCCAGUCGAAGAAAUUCCAACCAAGAUUCACAGCGACACCGCGGACGGGAACGAUCGGAUUCGUGCCAGAGACAAGCAACUUCAGAAUAAUGGGUUGGGUGUGGUAACCCAUAAUUUCUCCCUGAUACAGAGCAAGUACGAUGCUUCAACACUUGUCGGUAAUUCCAUGACGAAGUGAUAGUGAUCAACAAUACAGUACCAUUUUUUUAUACGCAAUAUGUAUUGCUUUGAAUCUGUAUUGCUGAUGGUGAUAUCAGCAUAGUUAUACUUCAUGGCAACGAGAACGUAUAAA